rnacentral:tRNA from 1 species
UUUUUUUUAGCUUAUAUUUAGAGCAUUAAUUUGAAGAGUUAAGGGAACCUUUGGGGUAGUUGUAU